GGAGGUGGUGGAACUGGUUGUUUUGGCACUGGUUAUUUUGGCGGUGGUGGAUCUGGUUAUUUUGGAGGUGGUGUAACUGGUUAUUUUGGAGGUGGUGGAACUGGUUAUUUUGGAGGUGGUGGAACUGGUUAUUUUGGAGAUGGUGGAACUGGUUAUUUUGGAGGUGGUGGAACUGGUUAUUUUGGAGGUGGUGGAACUGGUUGUUUUGGCACUGGUUAUUUUGGAGGUGGUGGAACUGGUUAUUUUGGAGGUGGUGGAACUGGUUAUUUUGGAGGUGGUGGAACUGGUUAUUUUGGAGGUGGUGGAACUGGUUAUUUUGGAGAUGGUGGAACUGGUUAUUUUGGAGGUGGUGUAACUGGUUAUUUUGGAGGUGGUGUAACUGGUUAUUUUGGAGGUGGUGUAACUGGUUAUUUUGGAGGUGGUGGAACUGGUUAUUUUGGCGGUGGUGGAACUGGUUAUUUUGGCGGUGGUGUAACUGGUUAUUUUGGCGGUGGUGGAACUAGUUAUUUUGGAGGUGGUUGAACUGGUUAUUUUGGAGGUGGUGUAACUGGUUAUUUUGGCGGUGGUUGAACUGGUUAUUUUGGAGGUGGUGGAACUGGUUAUUUUGGAGAUGGUGGAACUGGUUAUUUUGGAGGUGGUGUAACUUGUUAUUUUGAAGGUGGUGGAACUGGUUAUUUUGGAGGUGGUUGAACUGGUUAUUUUGGAGGUGGUGGAACUGGUUGUUUUGGCACUGGUUAUUUUGGCGGUGGUGGAACUGGUUAUUUUGGAGGUGGUGGAACUGGUUAUUU
rnacentral:lncRNA from 1 species